GACGAACGCUGGCGGCGUGCUUAACACAUGCAAGUCGAACGAAGAGCGAUGGAAGCUUGCUUCUCUCAAUCUUAGUGGCGAACGGGUGAGUAACGCGUAAUCAACCUGCCCUUCAGAGGGGGACAACAGUUGGAAACGACUGCUAAUACCGCAUACGAUCUGACCUCGGCAUCGAGGAUAGAUGAAAGGUGGCCUCUAUUUAUAAGCUAUCACUGAAGGAGGGGAUUGCGUCUGAUUAGCUAGUUGGAGGGGUAACGGCCCACCAAGGCGAUGAUCAGUAGCCGGUCUGAGAGGAUGAACGGCCACAUUGGGACUGAGACACGGCCCAGACUCCUACGGGAGGCAGCAGUGGGGAAUCUUCCGCAAUGGACGAAAGUCUGACGGAGCAACGCCGCGUGAGUGAUGACGGCCUUCGGGUUGUAAAGCUCUGUUAAUCGGGACGAAAGGCCUUCUUGCGAAUAGUUAGAAGGAUUGACGGUACCGGAAUAGAAAGCCACGGCUAACUACGUG
rnacentral:rRNA from 1 species